AUUUGUAUGUAGUUCGUGUGGAUACAGGUGCAUAUAUAUGGAGCAUGUCAUUGUGUUUGAAUGUAGGGACGUGUGUGGGUACAGUCUGUGUGUGAAUGCAGGGAUGUGUCUGGAGGUUUGAUGAGCGUAAAGGUGCAUAAGUGUGUAGUUGGUCAGUGUUUUUGUGUAUGGUGGGUACUGACUGUCUGCAUGAAUGAAGUGGUGAAUUUGUAUCCUUCAUUGUCUGUAACCCAUUCCUAUCUCAAAUAGCUAGUAGCCAAUUACUGCCCCAUAGUUUGGAGUCGCC